AAGUCAGACGUACCCGACAGAGCUGCUCGGAGAAACCCUCUGCAGUGCCUGUGGUCUGAAAUUCACACUGACUGAACUGAGAGCAGCUGCAACUGACGAUUUGAUUGACAGCCAGCAGCUAGCUUUACACACCACAAGUUUGACCCAGGCUUUGGUCGUCGUUGGUGUUGUGUUGUCUCUGGUGCACGCUGCUGCUGCAUUUUUACUGGAGUGAUGCAUCCACCUAGUGCUUGUAGAAGUGGCUCACUGGACCCUUAAGAAACGCAGUAUAUAGAUGAAGCAAAUAGAAAAGGUAGGAGAAGAGCAGAGAGGAAAAAAUAGAGCAAUCAGAUUAUGAUUCCUGUCACAUUGUCCUGGCACUGUCUCAGGCCUUGGAGUGAGAGUUGGCUAAAUGUCAGCCUAUGGAGAUGAGACAGAGAGGAGCAAGGCAAUGCUGUUUCUGUCCACUUUAAAUCCUGUUACUGAUGUCUUGUCUCUUUAUGUGGCUGCCAUCCGCAAACCAUGUGUCAGACUGAAAAAGAGAUACUGUGUUCUCCGUGUUUGAGAGGAGGAGAGAGGAACAAUACGUAUGUUUGUGACAUAUUUAACAACAGUGAUCAUUAUGUAUUAUAAUUAAUAGUCUGAAUGAAUUUGUUGUUUCCUCCAUUAGUCUAUUUCAGUUAUUCCUUGUAAAGUGUUGCGUAAGUACUAUAUUUCUAUAGAGGCAAACCUGAUUGAUUUUGCCUUGAAUUGUGGAUGUAUGCAAUACUUUUACACCAUCUAGUGUUGAAACUGUGAAUAGAAAAUGCAUAUAACUUAAAGUCCCCCCCUUCUCGAAAAUGUGUUUUGUCACUUUGAUAUUUCACUUGGAUGUUAGAGCUUUACUGUGCAGAAUGAUGUAUGUGCAGAGCUUGACACUAGAAGGCUGUUUUACCAUUCAUCUACUGAAGGGGGAAAGUUUCUUUGUGCUCACCUUAAAUAUGAGUAGCUAUAAGCAUGAUUUUGUGACCUUGCAACCAGUUUGGAAGCAAAUCCUGGUCCAAUAUGCAACUUACAGAAGUGUAAUGUGGAAACUUGAAGCCUCCAGUACACACAUACACUGAGAAUGGACCUUUCAGUGAAAUAGGAGACAUCUUGUGUCCAGCAAUAAACUUUCGAAAUUAAUAUUAUUCAUAGAUUCUUCAUUUUUCAAUGUGACAGAUGGAGUGGAUGUAAUUUUAAGAAUUUUUAACAAGGUAAAUGUAGACUGUUGUUUUGUGCUGUUUUAAGUAUUACAUUGCUAAACAGUGAGUGAAACUGUUUAGGUGGGUUACAUUUAUAAAAUGUGCAGCAGCUGUUCACUUACUC